rnacentral:rRNA from 1 species
UACGUAGGGUGCAAGCGUUAAUCGGAAUUACUGGGCGUAAAGCGUGCGCAGGCGGUUGUGUAAGACAGAUGUGAAAUCCCGGGCUCAACCUGGGAACUGCAUUUGUGACUGCACGGCUGGAGUGCGGCAGAGGGGGGAUGGAAUUCCGCGUGUAGCAGUGAAAUGCGUAGAUAUGCGGAGGAACACCGAUGGCGAAGGCAAUCCCCUGGGCCUGCACUGACGCUCAUGCACGAAAGCGUGGGGAGCAAACAGG